UGGGGAAUUUUGGACAAUGGGCGCAAGCCUGAUCCAGCCAUGCCGCGUGUGGGAAGAAGGCCUUCGGGUUGUAAACCACUUUUGUCAGGGAAGAAACGGCCUGAUCUAAUACAUUGGGUUAAUGACGGUACCUGAAGAAUAAGCACCGGCUAACUACGUGCCAGCAGCCGCGGUAAUACGUAGGGUGCGAGCGUUAAUCGGAAUUACUGGGCGUAAAGCGUGCGCAGGCGGCUUUGCAAGACAGAUGUGAAAUCCCCGGGCUCAACCUGGGAACUGCAUUUGUGACUGCAAGGCUAGAGUACGGUAGAGGGGGAUGGAAUUCCGCGUGUAGCAGUGAAAUGCGUAGAUAUGCGGAGGAACACCGAUGGCGAAGGCGGCCCACUGGAUCGGUACUGACGCUGAGGUGCGAAAGCGUGGGGAGCAAACAGGAUUAGAUACCCGAGUAGUCCCUGAGCGGGCUGGCAAGGCGCAU
rnacentral:rRNA from 1 species